UCCCAUGUUCCCUCCCGUGUCCCCUUCCCGUGUCCCCUUCCUGUAUCUCCUUCCCAUGUCCCCUUCAUGUAUCUCCUUCUCAUGUCCCCUUCCCAUGUUCCCUUCCCGUGUCCCCCUCCUGUGUCCUCUUCCUGUAUCUCCUUCCCAUAUGCCCUUCCCGUGUCCCCCUCCUGUGUCCUCUUCCUGUGUCCCCCUCCUGUAUCCCCUUCCCGUGUCCCCUUCCCAUGUUCCCUUCCCAUGUUCCCUCCCGUGUCCCCUUCCCAUGACCCCUUCUCGUGUUCCCUUCCCGUGUCCCCCUCCUGUAUCCCCUUCCCAUGUCCCCUUCCCAUGUCCCCUUCCCAUGUUCCCUCCCGUGUCCCCUUCCUGUGUCCCCUUCCCAUGUCCCCUUCUCGUGUUCCCUUCCCGUGUCCCCUUCCCAUGUCCCCUUCCCGUGUCCCCUUCCCGUGUCCCCUUCCCGUGUCCCCCUCCCAUGUUCCCUUCCUGUAUCCCCUUCCCAUGUUCCCUCCCGUGUCCCCUUCCCAUGUCCCCUUCCUGUAUCUCCUUCCUGUGUCCCCUUCCCAUGUUCCCUUCCCGUAUGCCCUUCCCGUGUCCCCCUCCUGUGUCCUCUUCCUGUGUCCCCUUUCCGUGUCUCAUUCCCGUGUUCCCUUCCCAUGUUCCCUCCUGUGUUCCCUUCCCAUGUCCCCUUCCUGUAUUUCCUUCCCGUGUCCCCUUCUCAUGUUCCCUUCCCGUGUCCCCUUCCUGUGUCCCCCUUCCAUGUCCCCUUCCCGUGUUCCCUUCCCAUGUUCCCUCCCAUGUCCCCUUCCCGUGUCCCCUUCCGUGUUCCCUUCCCAUGUUCCCUCCCAUGUCCCCUUCCCGUUUCCCCUUCCUGUGUCCCCAUCUCGUGUCCCCUUCCCGUGUCCCCUUCCCGUGUCCCCUUCCCAUGUCCCCUUCCCAUGUUCCCUUCCCAUGUUCCCUCCCAUGUUCCCUUCCCAUGUUCCCUUCCCAUGUUCCCUUCCCUUGUCCCCUUCCCGUGUCCCCUUCCCAUGUUCCCUUCCCAUGUCCCCUUCCCGUGUCUCCUUCC
rnacentral:lncRNA from 1 species